rnacentral:misc_RNA from 1 species
UAAACCUCUCACCCUCAAUUGGGGAUGAGGAGUUGAGCAAUCCGCUGGCGCUGAAUUGUUUCGGCGAUUUAACGCGGUUGCUUGAAAUGUAUAGCUGAGCGGUAUUGACCACUGCUUAAGAUGACUAGGCGUAUUAGUUUCCCAUUUGGGAAUCCACUCGUGCGCCGGUGUAUUGGUCUCUAAAGCCUUUGUGUUGGUUGAUCGCUAUGCUUUUCUAAGUGUUCUUCUGAUCAUUUACUUAGUUUGGCUUGCGGUUAGCAUACUGAACUUGAUC